GCAAUGCUAGGCAGGGUGGCCUCGACGCCAACAAUUCUGACAUUGAUGGGAGAAGGGGUGAGAGGGACGCUCAGGGAGGGACUCAACGCUAAUAUCAACAUCAAGGGGAAGUCAUGUGUUCGGAAUUAGCACAGUUAACCAAUAAUGUGUGAAUGAGUUUGCCAGUGACGUCAGUCAGAGUUGAUAAUGCUUUAAUUUAGGAUUCGGAUGUAACUGAUAAGGCGGGCAGGAUCCGGGCGGAUGCGCAAGGAAACUGCCUACUCAUUUUCGGAGACGUUGCUGAAGGAGGAGAAUGAUUGUAGAGGUCAUCCCGGGAAAUCGAGCCCAUUUGCCUUGGCGAGACAGCGUUCAACAGAAAACGGGUAUUUGAACCAAAGCUGCGAGCCAAACGGCACACUGCUCUGGCCGCCGUGACGAGUGGACACCUGGAAAACCUCCUCUAUUCACCUAUAUUCAAUCUGUUGCUCCUCGCAAGUAUUGUGGGGCUGCCUCCCUCCAACCCCCGCCGAGGACACAAAAUAUCCCCCUCGUAUUCACGGCAGGAUAGAGCGCACACGAGCCAGAUGCAUCGAAAGAGGCGCAAAACCCGCCGACCCGACGAGGGCGGGUCACCGCCGCUCUUCUGUUCAUGGUAUAACUUGUCCAUCUUGAUUAUACCACAAUCGUCUCUGUAUACAAUGCGGACUAUGUUAAGGUUAGUAUGCUGAUUCAGUGGGAAUAUUACGAGUAAUAUAUAAUAUAUGUAACACGUCCGC